rnacentral:tRNA from 1 species
AGCCCUGAAGUGGUUUUCAUGUUGAAUUGCAAAUUCAAAGGAGCAGCUUCAAUCCUGCCGGGGCUU